UCUGAAGAAAAAAAAAACAGCGGUAAACCCCCCUCUCCUCUUUCUCUCUCCCUCAACCCAUCUCUAUCUCCCCCUAUCUCUCUCUAACCGUCGCUCUCUCUACCCGAUGCUCUCCUCUCUCUUUCUCUCUCCCUCAAGCUAUCUCUAUCUCCCCUAUCUCUAUCUCCCCUAUCUUUCUCUCCCUUUCUUUCACUACCUGUCGCUCUCUCUACCCGACGCUCUCUCUCCCUUUCGCUCUUUCUUUCGCUCUAGCUCUCGCUCUCCCCAUUGCUCUCUCUCUCUCUAACUCUCGCUCUCUCUAUCUCUAUCUCUCGCUGCCUGGCUCUCGGGCUUUGUCUCUACUCCUCACGCCGUCCCUCUCUUCACCCCAA
rnacentral:lncRNA from 1 species